rnacentral:rRNA from 1 species
CCUACGGGUGGCAGCAGUGGGGGAUAUUGCACAAUGGGCGGAACCCUGAUGCAGCGACGCCGCGUGGGUGAAGAAGCGCCUCGGCGCGUAAAGCCCUGUCAGCAGGGAAGAAAAUGACGGUACCUGAAGACGAAGCCCUGGCGAACUACGUGACAGCAGCCGCGGUAAUACGUAGGGGGCAAGCGUGAUCCGGAUUUACUGGGUGUAAAGGGGGCGCAGACGGCGAUGCAAGUCAGGCGUGAAAGCCCGGGGCCCAACCGCGGGACUGAUGUUGGAACUGCGUGGCUGGAGUGCAGGAGGGGCAGGCGGAAUUCGUGGUGUAGCGGUGAAAUGCGUAGAUAUCAGGAGGAACACCGGUGGCGAAGGCGGCCUGCUGGACCGCAACUGACGUUGAGGCACGAAAGCGUGGGGAGCAAACAGGAGUAGAUACCCUUGUAGUC